rfam:Streptococcus parauberis NCFD 2020 Noncontiguous_Finished_Chromosome chromosome, whole genome shotgun sequence.
UGAGUGUUAUGAUGAUGGAGAGGUCUCAAUUCCUUUCUUAGUCUAGCUCUGGUCUACCGCUAGGAUAAAUUCCUAGCGG